rnacentral:rRNA from 1 species
GUGCCAGCAGCCGCGGUAAUACGGAGGGUGCAAACGUUGCUCGGAAUCAUUGGGCGUAAAGCGCGCGUAGGCGGUUGGACAAGUUGGAUGUGAAAGCCCUGGGCUCAACCUAGGAUGUGCAUUCAAAACUGUCCGACUUGAAUCUCGGAGGGGGUCAGAGAAUUCCCGGUGUAGAGGUGAAAUUCGUAGAUAUCGGGAGGAACACCAGUGGCGAAGGCGCUGACCUGGACGAUGAUUGACGCUGAGGCGCGAAAGCGUGGGGAGCAAACAGGAUUAGAUACCCGCGUAGUCC